GGCGGCGUGCUUAACACAUGCAAGUCGAGCGAGGCCCUUCCUUCGGGAAGGAGCCCUAGCGGCGAACGGGUGAGUAACACGUGGGCAACCUGCCCCUAGCACUGGGAUAACUCCGGGAAACCGGGGCUAAUACCGGAUAUGACCAUUGAGGGCAUCCUCUGUGGUGUAAAGGAUUCUGGCUAGGGAUGGGCCCGCGGCCUAUCAGCUUGUUGGUGGGGUAACGGCCUACCAAGGCGACGACGGGUAGCCGGCCUGAGAGGGCGACCGGCCACACUGGGGCUGAGACACGGCCCAGACUCCUACGGGAGGCAGCAGUGGGGAAUAUUGCACAAUGGGCGAAAGCCUGAUGCAGCGACGCCGCGUGAGGGAUGACGGCCUUCGGGUUGUAAACCUCUUUCAGCAGGGACGAAGCGAAAGUGACGGUACCUGCAGAAGAAGCACCGGCCAACUACGUGCCAGCAGCCGCGGUAAUAC
rnacentral:rRNA from 1 species